rnacentral:rRNA from 1 species
GAUGAACGCUGGCGGCGUGCCUAAUACAUGCAAGUCGAGCGAACGGACGAGAAGCUUGCUUCUCUGAUGUUAGCGGCGGACGGGUGGGUAACACGUGGAUAACCUACCUAUAAGACUGGGAUAACUUCGGGAAACCGGAGCUAAUACCGGAUAAUAUUUUGAACCGCAUGGUUCAAAAGUGAAAGACGGUCUUGCUGUCACUUAUAGAUGGAUCCGCGCUGCAUUAGCUAGUUGGUAAGGUAACGGCUCACCAAGGCAACGAUGCAUAGCCGACCUGAGAGGGUGAUCGGCCACACUGGAACUGAGACACGGUCCAGACUCCUACGGGAGGCAGCAGUAGGGAAUCUUCCGCAAUGGGCGAAAGCCUGACGGAGCAACGCCGCGUGAGUGAUGAAGGUCUUCGGAUCGUAAAACUCUGUUAUUAGGGAAGAACAUAUGUGUAAGUAACUGUGCACAUCUUGACGGUACCUAAUCAGAAAGCCACGGCUAACUACGUG